GACGAACGCUGGCGGCGUGCUUAACACAUGCAAGUCGAACGGAAAGGCCCUGCUUUUGUUGGGUGCUCGAGUGGCGAACGGGUGAGUAACACGUGAGUAACCUGCCCUUGACUUUGGGAUAACUUCAGGAAACUGGGGCUAAUACCGGAUAGGAACUCCUGCUGCAUGGUGGGGGUUGGAAAGUUUCGGCGGUUGGGGAUGGACUCGCGGCUUAUCAGCUUGUUGGUGGGGUAGUGGCUUACCAAGGCUUUGACGGGUAGCCGGCCUGAGAGGGUGACCGGCCACAUUGGGACUGAGAUACGGCCCAGACUCCUACGGGAGGCAGCAGUGGGGAAUAUUGCACAAUGGGCGGAAGCCUGAUGCAGCAACGCCGCGUGCGGGAUGACGGCCUUCGGGUUGUAAACCGCUUUCGCCUGUGACGAAGCGUGAGUGACGGUAAUGGGUAAAGAAGCACCGGCUAACUACGUG
rnacentral:rRNA from 1 species